GACGGAGGAUGCAAGUGUUAUCCGGAAUCACUGGGCGUAAAGCGUCUGUAGGUGGUUUAAAAAGUCCACUGUUAAAAAUUGAAGCUUAACUUCAAAGAUGCCGUGGAAACUUUUAAACUUGAGGAUGAUAGGGGUAGAGGGAAUUUCCAGUGGAGCGGUGAAAUGCGUAGAUAUUGGAAAGACCACCAAUGGCGAAGGCACUCUACUGGGCCAUUACUGACACUGAGAGACGAAAAGCUAGGGGAGCGAAUGGG
rnacentral:rRNA from 1 species